GCUGAAUGUCAUUUCCACACCCGGAUCCUCGCAGCGGGUCCCUGUGAGAGGCUGUUCCUGUGCACCGACGCCCUUUGAGAGGCACCUUCAUCACCAACACCUGGUUUUGUGCUUUGCCUCCAAAACUGGCUGGGAUGAGGGCAGCUUUCUCAGCAUGACUUGCAGGGAAUUGCCCACAGUCCUUGUCAUUUCAGCCCCAGAAGGGACUUCAGCCCCUGUAAUUUCCCUGCCUCGUGGCUCGGCCGUGGCAGCCGCUCCGCGCGCGGGGGGCCCGUCCGACCUGCCGAGCUCUUUGCCAGAGAGCUCUCCCACCACAGGGCUGUGAAAAGAGAAAAGGGGAGAGCGUUUUCAUGACGUGGAGCAGCGUGAAAUCCUUUCAGGUGACAGGGGAAUGGCCCCAUUAUUUGGCUCAGGAUGCCCCGGCGGUGACAACAUCGGCGUGGUGCCGAUGGACGUGACGUGACGUAGCAGCACAGAACCCAAACCCUCAUUAGGCAUAUGGGAAGCUGGCCAGUGGAAUAGGUUUUCCCCCUCCCUCCUCCAGUGCUUUCAUUCCAGCUCUCUGGUUUUUCCUCCCUGCUGCUGCACCCACCCUCAAACGGGACGUAAAUCAAGCGGAGGGGAGCGAACACGAGCUGUGGGGAGGGUUUGCUCUGAUUGAACCUCCGUGGGGAUCAGGGCUGCAGUUGUUCACUCCAAGCUUCAGAGCAAGGCCAGGUGCAGGUGAACCACCCAAAUUUAUCACUCAAGCCUCUCUCCCCGUGGGCAGCAGGUACCAGAACACACCAGAACACACCUGGAGACGCUGCAGUUCUUGCUGCUCUUCUUUACGACUCGCUCGUGUGGGAUCGUCCAGGAGAUCAGGGGUGGUUUGGGCUCCAGGUGGGCGAGUGCCAGGUGGAAACUUCUCAAUUCAAGCUGAGAAUUGUGGAUUUGUUGGUCUGGUGAGAAGUCUGGAGGAAAUGAGCAGCUUGAUUAGCACUCAGGGCUCUGUUUGGGAGUGUAACACCUGAGUCACAGCAAGGCAGAGAGUUCUCUGGGGGCUGAGGCAGCAGCUGCUGGAGUCCAAAGCAGAAAUGGGUUGGAAAACCCAUCAUGGGCAUUUUUCCCAGCCAUGCCCUUGGCACAAGCCCUUCCCUGCAUCCCCAGGGUCCUCACCUGGCUCUAGGGGGGACCCAGCAGCCUUUGGCAUUGCUUCCUUGGGGCAAACUGUGAGGUAAAGGACCUACAAGGGUGCAAUAAUGAUGAUUAAUUAGCACCAGAACUGCUGACAGGAAUGACCAGGCACUGAAUGCCACAUCCAUCUCCUCUGGCAUCUUGGUCAGCCCCCAGAGCAGCCAGGGGAUGACUGUGCUGGGUCAUCCCUGUGCCUGGAGGUGCUGUGGGUAUGCCCAGUGCAGAGAGAGGUGUUCUGGGUACAGCCCUGGGAUUAGGGCCAGCUAAAAUUCCCUGAAAUUCCCUACAACUGCCAGGUGUGGCUCUUCCCACACCAGAACCUGGCAGGCAGUUUGCAGGCACUGGGUUACCCCGGGGGGAUGGCAGGUGAGCUGGCAAAGGUGACAGAGCAAGUCAUUGUCGGAGCGGAGAAUUCCACUGGGAUCUUGCACUUCCAUCCUCGGCGUGAGAGUGGUUUUUUUAGCUCCAGCAGAACCAGCAGCCCCCUCAGUGAGACCCUUCAGCUCUUGGGAGAGAGGCCCAGAGUGGAGAUGCCGAGGCUGGUGAUGGCUCAGGGCAUUGCCCAUCAGCAGAUAGGGCUGGGCAGGGCGAUUGUGGUGCUGUGCAAUCCCCUGCUGCUCACAAGAGUUUGGCAGCAGCUCCUCGACUCAAACCCACCUGGCAGCUCCAGCAGUAAUUGGAAAGAUUUGUCUUCCUUAAACAUCCCGCUUUCAGCAAGAUUUGGGAGCGUGGCUGGGAGCUGGAGCCUGCAGGAAGGAUCUCAAGGACUUUGUGUUAAGGGAGAAAUUGGGUAAAUGCUGGAGGCUUUAAGACAGCUGCUGUAAAUCUUCCCCACCCCGUUCCCAGCAUGAACUGUUCUGUUAUUUCUACUAAAAAAUUGGAAUUCUUGUCAGGUGGGCAGAACCUGAGAGGGGAAAAAAAACAAACCAUCCCUCCCCAAAUCCCUCUUUCCAGUUGUUGAAGAGAACAAGAGAAACAAUUUAGAGGGACUUUUAGCUCGAGUAUGUCCCUUCUUCUGCAGGUUUGGCCAGAGUUUUGAUGCUGGGAGAGGGAAGGGCACAUUCCUGCUCGGAGCCAGGGCUUCUGGAACUGGUUUAAUUGUACUGAGGGCUCCAAAGCCUUUCCCCAGGAGAGCUGGAGGGAUCUUCAUAUUCAGCUCCCCAGGCAUUGCUGCCUGCUUUAAUCCCUCCUCUCCACAAAGUCAUUUUUUAACCUAAUUACAACCAUUACAACAUAAACUAUCUCCUCUAAUUACCCCUCAGGGUAAUCACCCACCUUCUGAAGCCCUCGGUGCACAUCUUUUAUUCAAACCCCUGAUUUUAGUCGGGUUUUCCCUUCUCAGUCUCAACAACUGGGACAGGCACGUGCUGCUCCUUCAAUAAACCAGAGCAAAAGAUGGAAAAACCCCUGAACAUCACCCUGGGGACCAAGUCCAGCCAGUUAUUGGGGUCCUAAAACAUGUGUUUUACGCCGUGAAACAUCAAAGAAAUGAUCCUCCAGCUGGAGGAGAACAGAAAUAAAGAUAAAGAGAAGGUCGUUUCGCAUCUCCCAGCUCAGAGCAGCCUCUGUCAGUUAUAAGCUCUAUUUUCCAGCAGUAAAAAGAGAGGUGUGGAACUGGGUGUGAUGGUGGGAGCUGUGUGUCAGACAGACUUUCAGGUGUAGGGGGUUAUCUGUGUCUGGGUUAGAGGUUCGUGGCUUUAUUUCUGACUGUUCCUUGUGGCCACGCUCAAAUCUACCCUUUCAGUCCCCAGCCCAGGCGGGAAAUCAGAGUAUUUUCUGGGCUUUGCUUCCUGAUUUUCUUGCCUUUUCCAGGUGUGCAGCUGCUCAGCACAAGCAAGGGCUUUGCAUCUCGGUACCAGGGUGAUAAAUCCUGGCUCUUUACACCGAGGGCUUUCCAAAAGCCCCGUGUCAAAGCCAGCUCUGGGGCUGUGAUCUCAUUAAAUCUCCCUUUAAAAUCACCUGUCAGUCUGGGUCUGGGGGGAAAAAAAAAAAAGGAACCAAAAGGAACCAAAUCAGCUUUUCUCCUCCUCCUGCAGAGGCUGAGCCCUCUGGAUUCCUACAGAGAGACACUUUUAAGGCUCCUUUCCCCAGUUUUGGGAGCUGCAUCGUUGAUGCAGGGACAAUGUUGUGCUGAGUUGCACUAAACAAGAGCAUCCUGAGAGGGACUUUCCACGUGGCUGGGCUGGGAGGGCUGAGUCAGCAAAAAGCAAUGCUGCAAAAGGCAGGUGCCAGCAGGAGGUUCCUCCAUAAAAUGUGGUGGUUGGGUUAUUUAGGCCAAGUUGUUCGUUUGCUGUGGACUCGUGGCCGAGGGGGAGACGUUUUCUGAUUGAGAGGAUUGGGAUUGUUCAGCCUGGGGUGACCUAGUUGUGGCUUUCCAGGACCUGAAGGAAGCCUAAAGAAAUAUGGGAAAAGGACUAUUUACAAGGCUGUGUAGUGAUAGGACAAGGGGGAAUGGCUUUGAACUGAAAGGAAGUAGGUUUAGGUUGGAUAUUAGGAAGAAACUCUUCCCUGGGGAAAGUGAGGCCCUGGCACAGGUUGCCCAGAGAAGCUGUGGCUGCCCCUGGAUCCCUGGAAGUGUCCAAGGCCAGGUUGGAUGGGUUGGAGCCACCUGGGCUAGUGGAAGGUGUCCCUGCCCAUGGCAGGGGGUGGCACUGGAUGGGCUUUAAGGUCCCUUCCAACCCAAACCAUUCUGGGAUUCUCUGAAAUCUGACACAGAAGUUUGUGGGGAGCAAGAACUGAGGUCCCUAAACAACUCAGGAGGCAGCACAUGAUGGAUGAUGACAAUUAAAACAAGAGUGUGUGGAUGGAGGAGGGUGGAAAACCUCCUCCCUGGGUCACACUCCGUGCUGUGGCCGUGGGGAAAUGCCAGGGAAAGGAGCUGGAGUUGUUUCCAUGAGUGUGUGGGCCCAGAGCUGCUGUUCUGGGGGGGUUUCCCACCAUUUCUCGUGGGGUGAGCUGGCCACAGUCCCUGUCUCAGCUCUCAGCCGUGGUCCCUGUUGUGCCUCAGAGCCAGGGAUGCUCCGGGAUGCAGGGCCCUGUUUCCAUGGCAAUUGCUGGGACUAAUGAAUAAGGAUUGUGUGCUGGUGAAUGGGAGCUGUGCAGGAGCUGGCACAGGACAUGCCGUGCCCUCACCCUCCAGUCGGGUCCCAAGGGAGGGCAGGACAUCCCCCCCCCAGAGUAGGGCAGUGCCCUUCAGUUCCUCACUUUGGGGGGAUCCACCUCAAUUUUCCCGCUUUCCUGGCUCUUUUUGGGAGAGCCUGGUGUUGGAACAACCCCUCUGCAGACCUUGUGUUGUGGAUGGGGAGGCUGCAACACCCCCCCCACCCCCCAUUCCCCUGCACCAAGGCACGGAUGGACCCACUGGAAAUGGCAUUUUUAAGGGCUGAUCCCAUGGAGGAAAGAUAAACUCCCGCUGCCUCUGGCUCCCCUUUUCCUGGCUGGUUUUUCCAGCUGAGUCUCCCAAACCUCUCCCAGAAGGGCUGGGAUCAGGUAAUGAUUCUUCCCCAGACAGCUGCUCCCGGCCACGCCACCGGCACAGCACAUCAGAGGGAGAUGAAAAAGCGCACUGAAAAUGGCAAUUUCUGCCAACUUGGCAAUAAAAAUUUAAGAGGCUUCAAUUAAGCAACAGGUUGGAAGAUGGAGCAGUAUCGUUUUAACGGGGCUCUAGUGGGCCUUGGAGACUCAUCCCCUCGUAACACUUGCAUGGGACAGAGAGCAGCAGCUACCAGGAACUGCAGCAUCCAAAGUGUAAUUACAGAGGCAGGGAAAUGGGACUCGGGUCUGGCAGCGGUUGCUCAGAAGCCCCUGUUUCCACUCAGGGCACAGGCAGUGGGAUUGGAAAAUGAGGAGCAAUUAAAUAACUCGAUUUCUCAUGUUUAAGGGUGGGCAGGCCCUGGCACAGGUUGCCCAGAGAAGCUGUGGCUGCCCCUGGAUCCCUGGAAGUGUCCAAGGCCAGGUUGGACGGGGCUUGGAGCAACCUGGGCUGGUGGAAGGUGUCCCUGCCCAUGGCAGGGAGUGGGACUGGAUGGGCUUUCAAGUCCUUUCCCACUCAAACCAUUCCGUGUUCCUAUGAUAUUCCAACAGUAAGAAGUAUAUCCUGACAUACCCUCCUGCUCCCCCUUGCACACCCAGCCUGUCGGUGCGCUCUGAGGCUCGUGCUGAUUAUUUCGGUCCUUAGUUUUCUGGUGCAGGGCUGAGUUUUCCGGGCAGGCUGGAAAUGGAGGAGCCCAGUUGUGCAACAACACGUCCUCCCGGGCGCCGGUGCCUCCUCCAGAGCUGUGCCUUAUUUGCCUGAAUUAAAACUUCAGAAAUAGCCCAAGCUGAGGGAAAUUCCGGCUCGCUAAUGCAGGAUGAGGAAAUAACUUCCUACUGCAGGCUGAAAAAAACGCCAAAAAAACCGGUGUUGGGAAUGGAGCUGGCUCAGCCACGGCCAUAACUCGAGGCAGAGGCAAACAGGCACUGGGUCUGCCCUGACGUUCCGUGGGGCAGGUUGCAAAAUCCAGCUGGGAAGCUGGAGCCAGGCUGGAGCAGCCGGGUAAACAGGCUGGCAUAUGCUGGCUUUCCCCCCUCUCCCUGCUGCUGGCUGGGAUCUCAGCAGGUGUUGGGAGCACGGGGUGAUGCAUCCCAGGCAUCCCUUCCCUGUGGGAUUAGCCCUGGGGCUGCUGAUGAGCGGCCCCGUGCCCAGCCACAAGCUGCAUCCCUGCGCUCGGGGAAGGGAAAUGAUCCAGAGGGUCAGCCCUUUUGUUUUGCAACUCCCAGGCUGGGAAAAACAGCCCCUCCCCUCCCCGUGGCCAUCCCUGCUGUGCCCGGAGGACUCCUCGGCUUUGUUAGUCCCGGCUUAAUGAGGAGCUGCGUUAUUUGGGCUCCAGGAGACACGGGAGAGGGCUUAGGGGCUCUAAUCGCUGGAUUAUGAAACAUAUGCUCGUCCUUUUGACAUCCUUGUGGGCCUGCUGGGGAUUUACUGGAGCCUCAGAUGGGGAAUCCUAGAGGGUGACUCCCUUUGGGAGUUCCUUUUGGGAGCUGAUGUGUCCAGGGCAGCCAGGUGCUGGUGCCAUGCCUGGAGCAGGAAGGAGAGGGCUUUUCCCAGGAGGAGGGUGAGCAGCUUGAGCUGUCAGGCUGUGUGGGGGUGGCUCUGUGGGCAGAUCCCCCAUCCUGAUCCCUGUGCCUGGGGCAGCAGGGAUGCCAAGGCUGAGCCCCAGCAUCCACGUUGUGCUGUCCCACUAAGUUCAGUGAGAAGGGAGCCAUCCUGUUUGUUCAGGUACCAGUUUUGGAGUUAGGACUGAGUUUUUCCCCGAGUUAUGGGAUUGACAGCAUGGCAGGGAUCAGUGUGGGUCUCUGUGGAGAUGGCACCUUGGAAGGCAGUGCUCUCACUGCCUCACAGUGACCCCAAGCUGAUGCUUCACUGGUGCACAGAGGUGGCAAAAUAAGGUGUCUCCAUGAAGGGGUUUGCUGUCAAAACAGAGCCUGGUUUCCUGGGACAGGAGGCUGCUGCAGUUCAGGAAAAUCCUAAGCCUGGAAGCAGCUUGGUGAUCCCAUCCCUGGGCAGGUGGCAGUGGGAAGGAAAGCAGAGUCGUGCUUCCUGGAGAAAUACAUGGAGGCAGUGGGAUGGAGGAGCUGCAGAAGUGUGUGGGUUGUUGGUGUGGAGCCAGGUGGAAGCUGGGGAGGCCUGGACACGUCGGAGAGGAUGUGGAAUGGGAGAAAUCCACCCAGUUUGGGAGCACAGAAGAACAAUGUUCCUGCUCAUUGGGAUUGGCUUGAAGGGGGCCUGGAGACAACAGCCAGGGCUGGAGCUGAUCCAGGAAGCUGGGAUGCUGCUUGUGCUGGAUGACCCCACCCUUCCCAAGGGAGAGGGUUUGCAAGGCAGGUUUCAUCACAGCCCGAGCCUGGAGUUGGUUUCAGCGAUGAUACAAAGCAGAUGAACAGUGUCCUCUUGGAGCAAGGGGGAGGGAGGCAGCAGCAGAGACCGCCUGACAGUGAAGUUCUGGGGGAACAACAACAUCCUCAGGACUUGCUGCCCUCACCCCCUGUGCCUCCUCAGGACCUUCCCAGGAGCCGCUCCCUGGGCAGUUUGGCACUGCAGGGGUUUGUGCCGGGCGCCCAUCCCUGCUCCUCCCCUGUGCCUCAUGCUGGGUUAGCAGCUCUGGGGAGGAACCCAACACCUUUGUUCCUUGUUCCUGCUGCUGUUUUUACUGCCCGAGUUAUGAUCUGGAUCCCUGUGACCUUCCUUUCUGUAACAUCCACAGCUCCAGGUGGGAGACCUUGGAUAGGCAGGUUUGUCCUGAUCCAGAGAGCUCUCCUGGUGCUGGAGACAUUCCCAGCACCAUGUGUCCUCAAUCUGCUGGGAGGCUGUUCCUGGUGCUGUGCCCUUCUCCCUUUGAUUUACUACUUCCUUGUCUACGGUUUUUAGCUGAUAAGUGAUCUGGCUCCUGAAGCUCCUCCUAUAUCCAAACCUGACAGCUUUUCCAAGCCUGAUAAGAUGCAUGGGGCAGUUUGGGAGCAGUUGUGGGGCUUGCUGGGAGCUGAGGGAGUGAUUGCAGCCUGCAGUGACAUCUUGAUAGCACCACCACCUCCCAGAUCAAGAUCCCUGCCAGCACCAACCCAGGCUCUUCCUGGCACCUUCCCAAGAGGCAUUUGCUCACAGAUGAGGACAAACAAAGAAGGGGAAGCAUCUUUUGGGGUGUGCUGGGUCCUGAUCCGUGCAAAGCCCUGGGCUGAGUGGUGGCUUUAGGCAGCUGAGCUCUCCUUGAGCCCAGCCUGAUGUAGAGCUCCAGUCCUGUUUGCACAGGGUUUGUUUCUGAAUCCUAAUGGGAAGUGCUGCUGCCUGGGCAUGAGGGGAGGAACGUGCAGGAAGAGCUCCCAUUGCCUGGCCAGGGCUCUGCUCCCAGAGCCCCAGGCAAGGAUGGAUGUGGGCUCCCAUUUCCUGACUUGUUAGCGUGUCCAAAGUUGGAUCACAUGUCUCUGGACGGAGCAGAACAGGACGUGUGUUGGGAAGAGCCUUUCCCCCUCGCUGUGGAGAUGCCAGGAAGAGCUGUGACCUUGGAGGGAAGAUGAAGAGGCUCUCGAGCUGUUUUUAGAAUUGCUGCUUUCGCUUCAAGCUCGUUCUUCCUCCUGCAGACCCAUCCUGUGAUUUAGCGCUUCUCUGCUACCAGCCCCCGAUUUCUGGGCUGCCCUUCCUCAAGAAGGGGCCUCUGGCAGGCACAGAGGCUCCUGUCAUGCCAAGGAACAUCCAUCAGGAAGCCUCCCAGCCUGCCGGUGGAUGGGGCUGAGGCUGAGCAGAGCUCCCCAAAGGCAAGCGGCCUGCGCACUGACCUGGGAUGAACCGCUAAACCGCAGCCGGCCCCAUCCGUUCCUUGGGCUUUGGCAGGGAGCAGAAACAAGCUGUUUUCUGUCCCAUUUCCAAAGGCUCCGCAGGGAAGGCUGGAUGGGAUCCAGCUUGUUCCUCGGCGCUGAGCUUGCACGGUUUGCCCUUUGCCCGCCCCGCCGGCCGGGAGGGGACGGGGCGGGACCCGGAGGGGUGGGCAGAGGGACAGGGGGUGUUCGACAGGAACGAGCUGAGGGAGGACUCCUGGGUUUGAGCUGGUUUAAUGAAAUUUCCUGAGUUUAAGCCCUCCUGCAUCCUGCUCGUUUUCCAGGGCUUCCAGAAGGGGCUGUAAACGGGCUUCACCCCCAGGGCUGUAGUGCUGCUUCCUGGCUUCGCUGGAGAUUGAAGGCUGCGCUUGUGUGAGAUGGGUCGUGGCAGCCUUUGGGCAGCAGGUGAAAGGCUGAGCCUGCCCAGGACAGGGGUGCAGUCACUGCUUGAGCCAAGAGGCUUCUCUGUUAAAAAUGUGAAAAGCUUGAGGGUAAACUUGAGAGGAAAAAAAACAUCCCUAUGGAGCUUUCUGCCCUCCCUUUUAUUGCUCAUCCAAGCGAUCAAAUGCAGGUCCCUGGUGGGCUGGAACUCACUCCCCCGCCAGCUGAACUGUGGCUGAUGGCUCUCAGGUGCCUUUGGAGUUGAUGUUAAAGUUGAAGUACGACAGAUCUGUUCAUCCUUGUGCUGAACCUCUCCCUGCCAGCAGAAUUGUUUCAGCUGAGCAGUCUGGCCCUCCAAAGAGCAGGUGGACAUGCAGGAGACCUUGCAGAAGGUGUUGUCACUGAUAUGGAGCUGUCAAAGACUCCCUCAGCUGACUUCAGCCAAGCCUCCAAAUCUCUCAUUUUAGGGGUAGAUCAGAAUGUGACCCAUGGAGUGGCAGAGGGAGAUAGGAGAGACCUCAGGGCAUGACAAGACCUGCCCUGGCUGAAGGACCAGGAGCUGCUUGUGGCCAUGCCACCUCCAAGCAAGCUGCCAACAGCAUUCCGUGUGCAGGGAAGGGGCUCUGUAGUCCUGUAGGGAACCUCCCUCGCCCUCCAAGCAGUUUUCCUUCGGCACUGAUCACGUGUGGGCUUGAAAAACACCCAGGGCAGGGGUUUCCCUGCCAGCCAUCUGCCUUCUCUGGGGAGCUGCAGGUUCUGUUUGCAGCCUCAGCGCUACACUGAGCUUCUCCUGGGGCCCAGGGACUCGAAAUUAAAAGUUUCACAGCUGCUCCCGUUCCCCAGGAAGCCUUUGCAGGUGAGUCAGCACUGUUAUGGGUUCCACAGCCCUCCGUGCUGAACUGGCAGGACAAUAUUUACUGCGGUUUCUGGUUUCGCAGAGGGCGUGGGGGCUCGGGGCUGCCCCUCCUCCCAGCCCUGCCACAACGGAUUUCUUGAUAAACCCGCCGAAAACUGUGUGGGUUUUUUUGGCAAAAAAAACAAAAGGUGCUGCCGGCUCCGGGGCGGUGCUGACACAGUCACAGGAGUUGCGCAAAGGCGGCCGAUCCGGAGGGGAGAGAGAGGAGAGGAACAUCUGGGAGCCCAGAGGAGGAAGGAGGAGGCUCCUGCCCUGCGGCAGGGGCAGGUCAGCCAGCCCAGGCUCCGGAGGUGCCUCUUCAAAGCGGCGGUGGGGCCGUGUUUGGUUGUGUAACGGGCUCAGCCUGUGCCGUGUGUGUGUUUUUGAGCUCCCACGUGCGGCACUAAUCCUGGGGCCCCGCUGCUGCCCGGCUCCCGGCUGGAACGGGCUGCUCUUUUCGGCAUCUCCCCCUUGCUGUGGCACCCGUGGUGCAGCUCAGGCUCCUGGGUUUGUGUUUCUCGGCUUUCCAGGGAGGUUGGGGUGUGUUUUCUGGUGGUGGGGUGGGGGUGUUUUGGCUCCAGCUGCCUUCAGACCAACCCCUGUGCUCCCACUCCUGCAUCCAAGGGCGUGCUCCAAAACUGAUCCCUGUGUGUGCAGGGAAGGAGGUGGCUCCCCUAGCUCCCUUCACAGCACAGUCCUGUGCCCUGGCAGGACGGGGAGAGAAGCUGAGGGGAUGUCCUGGCACGUUGAGGAGCCUGAGGCAGGGGAGAAAUGUUGCUCUGCUGGCUUGGUGGCUCUCCCAGCCUCAAGGAUCAAAGGAUCCUGGGAAGCUGCUGGCUCAGCCCUCAGGUGGAGCAGGCUGGAGCACGUGGGGGCAGCUGGUGGGUCGUGGGGUGCUGUGACCCACUGUUGAGGGUCCCAGUGGGGUGGUGGGUGUUAAGCCUGGUGGCACCUGUGAGGCCCAACCUCUGCUCUGGGGUUGCUCCAGGGCUGCCCUGGGCUGGGAACCCUUGCAGGAGUUGGGUAUUGUCGUGUCUCCUGAAUUCCCUGUCUGAAAGAUGGAGCUGGCUGCUGGCAGGGGGUGAGCUCUUGCUUCCUCCAUCCCUCAGCUUUCUUCCUGCCUGCUGUUAGGAAGUGGGAUUGCCCUGCUCCCCCCUCUCACUGUGCUGCUUUCCGGAGAGGAACCCACAGCACAACCCACGAGGUCCCCGGGCUGCAUCGCUGCUUCCAGACGAAUCCAGUUCGUGUCUUCCCUCGUGUUGUGCUGCUUUACAUCUGAACUGCAGCCACCAGCUGUGUUGUUAAAGCCAGCCCCAGCCACUUAGUCACAGGAAGAUCUGCUGUGAAACUCUCCAGGCCACAGGAGAGCCCUGUCUCAGAAACAUGUAUUUAUUUAGUGAGAUAUCCCAGCAGAUACCGAGGUAGAAAAAGAUGAAUUUAAUUUAGGGCAGGGUGCCCAGGGCUGUGUUCAGUAGCUGUUUGACUGUCUUUAAGAUCCCCAAACCUCUCUAGGUCCCUACUGAAGUGUCUGACAACUGUCAUGUCAUGCACAGACCCCCAGCACCCUGCCCUGCUGCAGAGAUUUCCCCCAGACUGGCACUACAGGCAGGGGGGAUCCUGCCUGAGCUCGGGAAUGGGAUAUUUUGUGACAGUGAAGCUGGGGAUGGGGCCAAGGUGACUCAGUUUGCAGCCUCCUCGCACUCUGCUCUCCACAGCAGUAACCAAAGAGCCUCAUGGUGUGUGUCUGUGCCUGUCUCCUCCUCAUGGGGGUCUGUCCAGGCUCUGGCAGGCACAGACGUGGCUGGAAGCACAGCAGGGGGGUUGUAGGUUGUAGGGAUGCUCCCAGGAGCUGCAAUCUGGGCAGGACUGUCCGUGGGGGUUGUGCCAGCGGCUCCUUGCUUGUUUAUAACACCACUAAUCCCUCUGCUGCUCCUGUUUUCCGUGAGGGCUUCUUGAUUAAACUGGGAGCUGUUCCUUGGGGCAGCAUCCCUUGGUGCUCAUGGAUGCUCAGGUCCCAUUCCCUCCUCCAGGAUCCCUCUCCGGGCACCACAGUGGGCUGUGCCUCCCACAGGUGCUCCAGGGCGAGCUGGGGAUUAAGGGCAGGGAGCAGCUUGUCCCAGCAGUGAUGUCAGCAGCCACAUACUGUGUCCCCAUAGCCCAGGGCCGGGCUCUGGGAUCAGCCAUGCCUGGCUGACCGGCUGUCCUUGCUCCCGGCUGGCUGCAGAUCCGGGGAUUAGGAGCUGCCAGCUGCUGAUGGGGGGGGAACAGGAGGUGUUUGUGUGGCAGGAAGAGCUCCAGCAGGGGCUCUGACCCCUCCCAGAUGUCCUCCUGGGGCCAGCCUGUUGCCCCUUGGGCCCCUCAGGGUGGCAGCACCAAGUCCCACAUGGGUUAUCCUGCUGCCAGAGGAACAGGACUGCCCUGUGCUGCUGGACUCUGCCCCGUGUCCUGUGCAGCACAGCGGGAGGAGAGUGUUCCCUGCUGUGUCCAGGCACUGACAGGAGCUUGGGGAGGGCACCAGGGUGGGCUCAGGCUGGUGGGGAGCCUGGAGUGUGCAGGGUGGGCUGAGCUGAGCUGGCUCUGAGCAGCUGCUGUGGCUCUGGAGACCACCUUGCUCCCUCUGCCCACCAGGAUUUUGGUCCCACUGUGGCAAGGCUGGUUUGUUUUAAGCUGGUUUUAAGUGACUUUCGGGCAGUGGGCUUUGGUUUGCAGCCCUGGGAGAUUGUGAUGGCUGUUCCCAGAAAGAAAAACUCGGGAACACUGUCCUGAAACCAUGGCUUUGCCUUUCCCACCUCCCCCUGCUCCUGCCCUGCAGCAGCAAAGCAAACUGAGGUCUGGAUUUCCUCCCCUGGUGACAGGCUCUGACAUCCCACACCUUUCUCCCACAGUCAUCAGGAGUAUCCUGAGUGGGGAGGGACCCACAAGGACCAUUCAAUCCCUGCACAGACACCCCAACAAUCCCCCCUCCUGUCCCUCAGAGCGUUGUCCAAACCCUCCUGGAGCUCUGGCAGCCUUGGGGCUGUGCCCACUGCCCUGGGGAGCCUGUUCAGUGCCAACCACCCUGUGGGGGAAGAACCUUUUCCCAAUACCCAGCCCCACACCAGGCAGGCAGUGGGAUGUCCUGUGGGUGCUGCAGGGUUGUGUUUUUUGCCUGU